UACAGAGGGUGCUAGCGUUGUUCGGAAUCAUUGGGCGUAAAGGGCGUGUAGGCGGUUUGUUAAGUCAUGUGUGAAAUCCCUCGGCUCAACCGGGGAACGACGCAUGAAACUGGCAAGCUAGAGUACCAAAGAGGGGGGUGGAAUUCCCGGUGUAGCGGUGAAAUGCGCAGAUAUCGGGAGGAACACCUGUGGCGAAGGCGGCCCCCUGGUUGGAUACUGACGCUGAGACGCGAAAGCGUGGGGAGCAAACAGG
rnacentral:rRNA from 1 species